ensembl:snRNA U6 U6 spliceosomal RNA
CUCGCUUUGGUAAGAAAAACACUAGAAUUGGAACCAUAGAGAGAAAAUUAGCAUGGUCCCUGUGCAAGGAUGACAUGCAAAUGUGUGAAGUGUUCCAUAUUUUU